GGCGCCGUGGCUCAGUUGGUUAAAAGUGCCUGUCUAGUGUAAACAGGGAGUGUCACGAGUUCGAAUCUCGUCGGUGCCU